rnacentral:rRNA from 1 species
CGGGGUGAGUAAUGUCUGGGAAACUGCCUGAUGGAGGGGGAUAACUGCUGGAAACGGUAGCUAAUACCGCAUAACGUUGCAAGACCAAAGAGGGGGACCUUCGGGCCUCUUGCCAUCGGAUGUGCCCAGAUGGGAUUAGCUAGUAGGUGGGGUAACGGCUCACCUAGGCGACGAUCCCUAGCUGGUCUGAGAGGAUGGCCAGCCACACUGGAACUGAGACACGGUCCAG